CUGUUGAUAGGCAGCACAUAUACUAAAAUUGGAAUGAUACAGAGAAGAUUAGCAUGGCCUCUGCAAGGAUGCUACCAAAUUCAUGAAAUGUUCCAUAUUUUU